ACAAGCUCAAAUUAGAUCAAUUUUUCUGUUGUUUGAAGUUGAAAGAUUCGCUGGGAAAUCCUGAUGCAUACACAUCAAAUAACUUUCCCAACUACCAAUCUCGUCCCUAAGAACCCCUCUAAAGAUUUUGUAUUUUCCAAAAGUCAUUAUUUUGCAAAGUUUUGAUCUGAGAUCAACCAAACUUGAUUAAGUUUCCCUUCAUCGCUGACCAGAAAACCCUUUUCGGUUCUGCUUGCUGUCUUCCCAGUCUAAACUUCUCCACGCUGUCAUCUUCGGCGGUGGAUCUGCAGAGUCUGCGGCGGCGACAUAAGGGAGCUCGGGAAACUGGUUGAGCUCAGGCGUGCGGAGCAGGAACGGCGAUUCAAAGAGCUGGUUGGAGUCAACAGAAGAGAGUAGAAGAAUUAUCGAAUAACAGUUGACUUCUUGGCUUGAUGCCCUUUGGUUCCUGGAUGAGAGCCGUCUUCCUCAAGGGCCUGGGGUAGCCCAAGCUUUGAGACUUCUAGGCCAGAGCCAGAUGUUGCUUCUCGUUAUUGUGAUCUGAGGCGGCUCAGCUCUGUGCUAGAUUUUGUCCGCAUUAUGCAGAGUUUGGUUAUGAUUUCUUUAUUUGCGAUGAGCACUGAAGGAACUAUAUUCAGGUAUUGCUCUAAGAUUUUGGGUUG